AUCUAUGGCCAUACCACCCUGAACGCACCCCAUCUUGUCUGAUCUCGGAAGCUAAGCAGAGUCGGGCCUGAUUAGUACUUGGAUGGGAGACCGUCUGGGAAUACUGGGUGCUGUAGGCU
ensembl:rRNA 5S_rRNA 5S ribosomal RNA